rnacentral:rRNA from 1 species
CCUACGGGUGGCAGCAGUGAGGAAUAUUGGUCAAUGGGCGGGAGCCUGAACCAGCCAAGUCGCGUGAAGGAUGACGGUCCUUCGUGUUGUAAACUUCUUUUAUCAAGGAACAAAGUCAGGCACGCGUGCCCUUCUGCAUGUACCCUAAGAACAAGCAUCGGCUAACUCCGUGCCAGCAGCCGCGGUAAUACGGAGGAUCCGAGCGUUUUCCGGAUUUAUUGGGUUUAAAGGGUGCGCAGGCGGGGUGUUAAGUCAAGUGUGAAAGUUCGCGGCUCAAACGCAAGAUGGCAGUUGAUACUGGUAGUCUUGAGUGGGGUAGAGGUAGGCGGAAUUCGUGGUGUAGCGGUGAAAUGCAUAGAUAUCACGAAGAACUCCGAUUGCGAAGGCAGCAUACUGGAUUGAGACUGACGCUGAGGCACGAAAGUGUGGGGAUCGAACAGGAUUAGAUACCCGUGUAGUC